UACGUAGGGCGCAAGCGUUGUCCGGAAUUAUUGGGCGUAAAGAGCUCGUAGGCGGUUUGUCGCGUCUGCUGUGAAAGCCCGGGGCUCAACCCCGGGUCUGCAGUGGGUACGGGCAGACUAGAGUGCAGUAGGGGAGACUGGAAUUCCUGGUGUAGCGGUGAAAUGCGCAGAUAUCAGGAGGAACACCGAUGGCGAAGGCAGGUCUCUGGGCUGUAACUGACGCUGAGGAGCGAAAGCAUGGGGAGCGAACAGGAUUAGAUACCCCAGUAGUCC
rnacentral:rRNA from 1 species